GUUUCAAUUCCUCAUAGGCAGGCUAUCGGCGUCCGACAUGAGCUCGCGAAGAAAGGGGCACUCGGUG
rnacentral:sRNA from 1 species